rnacentral:rRNA from 1 species
CCUACGGGUGGCAGCAGUGGGGAAUAUUGCGCAAUGGGCGAAAGCCUGACGCAGCGACGCCGCGUGAGGGAUGAAGGUCUUCGGAUCGUAAACCUCUGUCAGCAGGGAAGAACGGUCACUGUGCUAAUCAGCAGUGAAUUGACGGUACCUGCAAAGGAAGCACCGGCUAACUCCGUGCCAGCAGCCGCGGUAAUACGGAGGGUGCGAGCGUUAAUCGGAUUUAUUGGGUUUAAAGGGUGCGCAGGCGGAGGCACAAGUCAGCGGUAAAAUCGCGGGGCUCAACCCCGCUCCGCCGUUGAAAAUGUGUCCCUGGAGUGAGCGAAGGUUAGGCGGAAGGCGUGGUGUAGCGGUGAAAUGCAUAGAUAUCACGCAGAACGCCGAUCGCGAAGGCAGCCUACCGGCGCGCAACUGACGCUCAUGCACGAAAGCGUGGGUAUCGAACAGGAUUAGAUACCCCAGUAGUC